rnacentral:rRNA from 1 species
GUCUACAGCCAUACCUCCCUGAAUGCAUCCUAUCUCGCUUAAUAUUCGAAGCUAAGCAGGGUCGGGCCUGGCUAGCUUCGAGACU